CGAUCCCUGCUCGGUGCGUGAUGGCCUAUAUUUAAACCCACAAUUCUCAUACGGGAUGCUGGAACUCGGCUGGCGGUUUGCAGGCCUCCCCGCGUCUAUGCGCCGGAAGUUGGAAGCAGUAAAGCCAAACGGAGGCGUCCCACCUGCCAUUCGGUGCAGGUUUGAACUGGGUCACACGGCCAGAGCGGGGGUCUU
rnacentral:other from 1 species